CUUAUUUGAAAAGACAUCAUUGGUUAAUAUUCCCUUUUGCUCAUUGAAAUCUCAAAGACUAGAGGUGUGGUGCAAUUCCGUUAGAUGAAAGAGAUCUACACAUUCAGAAGCACAUGAUUCUUCCCCCUUCCAUGAUUCCAGUGGCCAAUAGAAUGGAGUGUAGUGGCGUGAUCUUGGCUCACAACAACUUCUGCUUCCCACAUUCAAGCGAUCCUCCCACCUUAUCCUCCUGAGUAGCUGGAACCACAGACAAACUGCAAUAAAGCCAUGCCCCGACUGGAUGUGCCUAACAUUUGUCUGGUGCUUAAAGGAGUUGGCUGCAUGCAUGGGAUGGAAAAGGAUUCAACAUUUAAUGGCAGUUAGAAUCAAAUUUUUAACUCAAGAAGGCAGAAGGAAUCCACCUAAAUAAAUGUUGGAAAGUCACCAAAAAUAGUUCUCCAAGUCAGAAGCGGUGCAAAAGCUGCCUCAACUCUUGGUGGAUUUUCAAUUUCUCCCAGCCAUCUCUGUUUCUCUAAAGGUUUCUGAAGACAGUGGGUAUGUGGCAAAAUUCUGCAGUUCUAUAUUAAGAUAAACUGUUAGAUCAA
rnacentral:lncRNA from 1 species